rnacentral:lncRNA from 1 species
GCAAAAGAUCGGAAAGUGCCACUGCAAAGACCACCAUCUCGGCCGACUCGACGCCGGCUCCCCUUUUUGCACCAGCACACUCGUACAUUUUUUUCGCACUUGGCCCUGCCUGCUCGCUCGGCGGCGGCGGUUCGACAUGGAAGACGACGAAAUCGGGAUGGUGGCGGGCAUCGCCGUCGGUUGCUUCCUCCUGGGGGCUGCCCUCGCCUGCUGUUGUUGCUGCCUCGUCGGCGCGCUCUUGGCACAAAAGAUGAACACGGGCCGAUAGGAAUAUCCCUAGACCUUUACCUCGCCCGCUGGCUGCGGCAUUUCUGUACAUAAAAGAAAUACAGUUUUAUUUUGACA